rnacentral:tRNA from 1 species
UCCCUGGUGGCUCAGACAGUAAAGCGCCUGCCUACAAUGCGGGAGACCCGGGUUUGAUCCCUGGGUUGGGAA